GUGUUCAAUUUAGCAGCACGUGUAUUAAAACUGGAAAUGACGACCAGCAUAACCUCUGCAUAAAGAUGUUGGAAAUUCAUGAAAAGUGUUUCAUAUUUUU
rnacentral:snRNA from 1 species